rnacentral:rRNA from 1 species
CUGGCUCAGGAUGAACGCUAGCGACAGGCUUAACACAUGCAAGUCGAGGGGCAGCAUAGAAGUAGCAAUACUUGGUGGCGACCGGCGCACGGGUGAGUAACGCGUAUGCAACCUACCUAUCAGAGGGGAAUAACCCGGCGAAAGUCGGACUAAUACCGCAUAAAACAGGGGCACCGCAUGGUGAUAUUUGUUAAAGAAAUUCGCUGAUAGAUGGGCAUGCGUUCCAUUAGGUAGUUGGUGAGGUAACGGCUCACCAAGCCGACGAUGGAUAGGGGAACUGAGAGGUUGGUCCCCCACACUGGUACUGAGACACGGACCAGACUCCUACGGGAGGCAGCAGUGAGGAAUAUUGGUCAAUGGGCGGGAGCCUGAACCAGCCAAGUCGCGUGAAGGAAGAAGGAUCUAUGGUUCGUAAACUUCUUUUGCAGGGGAAUAAAGUGCAGGACGUGUCCUGUUUUGUAUGUACCCUGAGAAUAAGGAUCGGCUAACUCCGUGCCAGCCGCCGC